AGUGAACGCUGGCGGCAGGCCUAACACGUGCAAGUCGAGCGGCAGCGGGUCCUUCGGGAUGCCGGCGAGCGGCGGACGGGUGAGGAAUGCAUCGGAAUCUGCCCUGUCGUGGGGGAUAACCUAGGGAAACUUAGGCUAAUACCGCAUACGACCCACGGGUGAAAGCGGGGGAUCGCAAGACCUCGCGCGAUAGGAUGAGCCGAUGUCCGAUUAGCUAGUUGGCGGGGUAAAGGCCCACCAAGGCGACGAUCGGUAGCUGGUCUGAGAGGAUGAUCAGCCACACUGGGGCUGAGACACGGCCCAGACUCCUACGGGAGGCAGCAGUGGGGAAUAUUGGACAAUGGGCGCAAGCCUGAUCCAGCCAUGCCGCGUGGGUGAAGAAGGCCUUCGGGUUGUAAAGCCCUUUUGUCCGGGAAGAAAUCGUCUGGGCUAAUACCCCGGGCGGAUGACGGUACCGGAAGAAUAAGCACCGGCUAACUUCGUG
rnacentral:rRNA from 1 species